GUUUUUUUUUUUUGACCGUUGGACCCCCCAACGGUCAAAUUUUUAAAUGACUAUUGGGAAAAAAACACGAGCUAAAUCACAUCCCUAAGAGAGCGAUUUUUCCACGGCAGCAAAGCGCAUUCAUGUUAGUGCGUUUUGUGCUGACAUGGCAAAAUCGCUCCCUUAGAGACGUGAUUUGCUGAAAUUUCCCCCAAAUAUGCUCCUAUGUGAUCGCGUUUUUAUAGUUUUUGACCCUUUCUGAUAAAUAAUAACAAAAUUGACCUACUUCCGUAAAUAAAAUAAAAAAUGGGCCUUUAUUGAAAAAAUGGUCUUCAUGAUUAGAUAAACAUACGUAGUGAAUAGUCAGCCCUUUAACUUUUUUAAUUCACGUCCAUCUUAUCCCCCUCUCCCAGCAUUAUACUCCAACUUGAUGGAAACUGCCAUCAUCCAACCUCUCUACACCCCAUUCCCUAUUUACAAAAUCCUCUCCCUCCAGCCAAUCCGCCGGCCUCCUCCAUGGAAGAUCAAUUAGCCUCCUCAUCCCCGCCGCCACCAUCACCAGCGCUCAAAACCUAUACUCUAACGGCGUCCUCCGUCUCUUAUACUAAAUCAACCACCUCAACCACUUCUCUCACGGGCUAUUUCCUUUUCAAGCCUUGCACCUCUACGCCCCCAACUUACAUCCUCCGGGAUGUAUCCUUCACUGCAAAUCCCUCACAAAUCCUAGCUAUUGUUGGCCCGAGCGGAGCCGGAAAGUCCACUCUCCUUGACAUCCUAGCAGCUCGAACGUCAGCAACAAAUGGCAUUCUUUUACUCAAUUCCACUCCUAUCAACCCUUCUUCAUUUCGUAAGCUCUCUGCUUAUGUUCCUCAACAUGACGCAUGCUUGCCAUUGCUGACUGUGGCUGAAACUUUUGCUUUUGCUGCCCGGCUUCUCGUCCCUAAAACAUCUGAUGUCGACACCACGGUGACAUCUCUUCUGUCAGAGCUAAGUCUAACGCACUUGUCUAACACCAAGCUAUCUCAUGGGCUGUCGGGUGGUGAGCGAAGGCGUGUUUCAAUAGGUCUAAGUCUCCUCCAUGACCCUGCUGUAUUACUCCUUGAUGAACCCACUUCAGGCCUUGAUAGUACUUCCGCUUUCAAUGUAAUGCAGAUCCUCAAAUCAAUAGCUGUUUCACGUCACCGCACUGUUGUUUUAUCCAUACAUCAACCAAGCUUCAAGAUUCUUUCCACUAUUGAUAGAAUCCUCUUGCUAUCAAAAGGGACUGUGGUGCACCAUGGUACUCUAUUUUCUCUUGAGGCAUUCUUAAGCUCCAACGGGUUUACCGUCCCUCCUCAGCUCAACGCCCUCGAGUAUGCAAUGGAAAUAUUAAACCAGCUGCAUGCUAACAAACCGAUUACACCGCCAUCACUCCCUCCAUCACAACAAGAAUCUGUUAUAAGUCCCGACAAUAAAGAAGCAAGUGAUGUCAGGUAUAGAAGCUCAAGACUUGAUGAAAUCUGCUCUCUAUAUAACAGGUUUUGGAAGAUUAUAUACAGAACACGGCAGCUUCUUUUAACCAAUGCAUUAGAAGCUCUUAUUGUGGGUCUUGUUUUAGGUACAAUUUACAUUAAUAUUGGUUAUGACAAGGAAGGUAUAGAGAAAAGAUUUGGUCUCUUUGCCUUCACCCUAACCUUCCUUCUCUCCUCUACAACUGAAACCCUUCCAAUCUUCCUCAAUGAAAGGCCAAUUCUGCUGAGGGAAACGUCAAGCGGGGUUUAUAGACUCUCGUCUUACCUCAUAGCCAAUACCCUUGUCUUCUUGCCUUAUUUGCUUGCCAUUGCGAUCAUAUAUUCCAUCUCUGUCUAUUUCUUAGUGGGUCUAUGUGCUUCAUGGCAAGCUUUUGCUUACUUCGUUUUGGUCAUUUGGAUCAUCGUUCUAAUGGCAAAUUCAUUUGUUCUCUUCUUGAGUUCUCUUGCGCCAAAUUAUAUAGCCGGAACUUCACUUGUAACAAUACUUCUGGGUUCCUUUUUCCUCUUCUCUGGCUAUUUCAUCUCCAAGGAUAGCAUGCCCAAGUACUGGCUCUUCAUGCACUUUUUCUCAAUGUAUAAAUACGCUCUUGAUGCGCUUCUUAUCAAUGAGUAUUCUUGCCUGGUGUCAAGGUGUUUUCUUUGGUACAAUGAAACCAGCACUUGCAUGGUAACAGGAGCUGAUGUAUUACAAAAGAAAGGACUCCAUGAGAGACAAAGAUGGACAAACAUCUACAUAUUAGUUGGGUUCUUUGUGUUCUAUCGUCUCCUUUGUUUGCUAGUUUUGAUUAGAAGGGUUUCAAUAUCAAAGAAAUGAAGAAAUUAAGUUUCAAUUGUCACAUUUUGAUUUUCUUUUCUUCUUUUUUUUUUCCUUAUAUUGUUUGCUUUGCUAUGUCCCGAUCUUUCUUUCCCUUUCAUUCUCAAAUCAUAGUAAUAGUAACUAGGCUCGAGUGAAAUUCGAUUCGACUUAAAAAAUUCAAUAAAAUUUUUAAAUUUUGAAUUAAAUAGUUCGAAUUAUUUGAGUUAAUCAAGUUAUUUGAAUCAACUCGAAUAAAAAAUUAAGUUUUUUAAUUUAACUCGAAUAUGAAUUAUAAAAUUCGAGUUAUCCGAAAAUCCGAAUAAGAAAAAGGUAAAAUUACAUCAUUUUGAUAAAUGUUUACUUUUCUUAAAGUUAAAAGUCAAAACUAUUAAGUUAAAAGUUAAAAUUAUGUUAUUUUGAUAAUUGUUUACUCAUUAAGUUAAAAAAAUAAAACUAUUAUAUUGUUUAUGUAGUUAAAUAAUUGUAUACUUCGUUUAUUAGUUAAAUAAUUGAUUCAUAUAAAUGCAACAUUGAGUAUAAAUAAUAGGAUUUGUUAACUCGACUCAAUUUAACUUGAAACGUUUUGACUCGAUUCGAUCCGAUUCGAAAAAAUUCAAAUUGAGUUUGAUUGUUAAAAUAAAAUUCGUCAACUCAACUAACACGAAAAUUUUUAACUCGAUUCGACUUUACUCAGUGAAAUAGUCACACCUAACUGUAAUAGCUUGGCUGCUUAGAAUAAUUCAUUUGAUUUGUCAAAAUAGUAAAAACUUCAAACUUAAAUAUGUUUUCCUCCUUUUUAUUUUAAGGUUUGUUGUUUAGAUCUCGAAAGAUGCCAGGAAAGUUUCACAUGGAUCAAUAGGCCUGGCAAACUCGCAAGCUUCUUACAAGACAUGGCUCGACAGUCGAAGCAUGGCUCAUGACAUCCCUUGAUGAAAUUUGUCCGGAUUACUUUCCAUUGCCUGUAUUAGGUUUUUUUUUUUCCUAAUGAAUUUAAUUUUAAAGUGAAAGUAAAUUUCAACACGGAAAAGUUGUUCACUUGUGCUUAAAAUGAUAUUAAAAAGUACACCAAAAAUUAUGAUAGUAAAAAUACGUAGCCUCGAAAAUUUAUUGUAAAAUACAAUAAUUCUAAUAAUUUUUAACAUUCUAACAAGCUUACACUCUUUUCAAUUUUAAAAUAUUUACUUACAAAAAUAAAUAGACAAAUUUAAAUUUGAUUUCUUUUAUACUGGAACUAAUUUGCUUAUAGAAGCAACUUAUGAAACAUAGGUUAACAAUCCAAGUGCCAAAAUUGACUCAUCUUACAUAUUGUUGAUUGAGAACAAAUCAAAAGAACAAAGAAAACAGAAUAGAAAAUUUAUUUGCAAAAGCUGCCAUGUGAUUGUCCCAUACACACAGAAAAAAUCAUCUUAUAAUAAUUCAAUCCACAAGAUCAUUUUUAAGCAAAGGAUGAGUUGGCAUUGAUAGUAAAGAAUGAGUCACGGGUCUCUAUCUAUUUAUAUUGCUGAACCUGAUGGUGAAGGUUGAAGCUGGAAGUGCUGAUGAAUCCAAGUUGUCCUAGAGUGGAUAUAAAUAGGGUGUUGUCGGGUGGUGAAAUGCCAGGAAUUUUGUCUGCUUUCCUUCGCUUGGAAUCAGUGCAUCCUUCACGGGUUCUCCUUUUAUUUAUCUCACACGUGAACUCCUAAUUGUUGCUUUUCCUAACACCUACUUGUAGCUUCACCAAUAUUUUUUUCCAAAUCGGGUUGUUGAUCUUAACCUUAAUUAACGGUGGUCGCAGAUGUUUUUAAAAGAAAUAAACUAUUAGUUAUCGAAUAUGUUUUUUUUUUAUAAUUGAAAAUUAAAUCUCUUAUUUCAUGGUUAAAUAAUAAAAUGAAUAAUCAUCAUAUCAUACCUUAUAAUUAUGUUUUUAAAUUUAUUCAUUAUUACGUUAAAAUGAAAUUUCAAAUUUUACAGACAUAAAAAAGAAGCAGAAUUUUAAUAUUAGAAUUGAGAUUUUUAUCUCUAAAACAACAUAUAUAUUUCAAUGAAUUUUCUAAAAUAAUAUUUUUUAAUAUUUUCAAGAGAUCAUUGUCAAAUAAAUACUCCAAAGAUAAAACUAGAAAGAAUAAUGUUUGCCUCUAAUUUAGAACUUCACUGGUUGGCUCUAUCUCCCACGACACUAAUUGAUUGGAUCACUAUGGUUAACUCUCAUUUAUUGUAUGAUUAGAAACACUAAUGUGUAUCAAACACUAGAAUCAAGUUGAGCCCAAUCAGUUAAGCAAAAUUAACAUGUAAAUUGACAUCCGUGUUAAUCUUAUCACAUCAACUCAUCGUCCAAAUACAAUUAACCUUGAAGAAAUUUAGCUAAUGCUUUGAAAACAAGGCAAUAUAAUAAUCAUUAAUAUUCAGAAAUCAAGCUAUAGGAAGAGUUGAGAAAUGCUCAUCAAGUCCCAUACUUGAGAUAUCUCCACUUGCCUACUUGGAUUGCCAAAAGUAUCCAAUUCAGCUCACAAACUCUUGAGAUUUACUAAAAUUUAAUCUCGGUUACAAUAAAACUUCACCUAAUUACAAGAAUUCACUAAGAACAACUAAAUAAUUAAGGAAAAAACUAGAGUUAACCGUCAAUAACCAGCUAUAUUGAGAACUAAAAUUCCAUAUGUUUGGAUUGAAUAAAAAUAAGGAAAAUAGAAGAUUAGGAAAGUGAGGGAAAGUAAUACCUUUUCCUUUAUUUGGAUAACUUUUUUUUUAAGUAAAAGGAGUGAAUAUCAUUUACGUUUUCCUUGAGAAGAAUAUAAUUGAAAAAAAAUAUUAUAAAUAAUUACUUCUUUAACUUUCUAUAGUUUAAUAAAAAAUAGAUAAUGAAAAGUCAUUCUAUGUUUUUUUUUCCUUUAUUAAUUUAAUUAUCCAAACAAAAUAACCAUAUAACUUCUCCUCUCCUUAACUUUCCAUUAUUUUCCUUUCCUUUACUUACUUUUUUUUUCUUUUACAAAUAUUUACUUUUCCUUUUCUUUUUUUUUUCCAUUCUUUUCUUUUUAUCCAUUGUUUUCCUUUCUUUUCUUUUUUUUGCCAUUACAAUUUAUUACCCGAAUGAACAUACUGUUAUAUGAUCUUAAAAUCUUGUAAAUUUGCUUUUGACCCUAGACCGUUGGAAGCUAGUUAAACUUUGAAAAUAGAAAUUGUUUCUAAGCGUCAAAUCAUUUCUUUUUUAAUGUUAAAAUCGAUUCUCAAGCCCAAUUUUUGUUCAAAGCCCAAUUUCCAAGUUUGCUUCAUUUUCUUUGACCCAAAAUUAAUCAUUUGCAAGACACAAGGCUAAAAUAAUUUUCACGAUCGUUUUUAAUUCGGCCUAAAGGUCCAUAUUUCUUUUCUUUUUUUUAUCUUUAUAGCUAGGGUGUUGUACCUAGCUAACUGUUGCGGCCGGUGGAAGAAAGAACCAAGAUAGCAGUUUUAUUCAUUUUGGCAACCGAUAGCCCAAGUACUCAGCAUAAGGGAAUAUUGGUAAAAGGAAACAAACAAUUUUUGACAUUUUACAAACAACAAAAAUGGAUUAAACAACCAAACGAACAGAUUACAGAUUGAGCAAUACAAGAUUAGCAAAAAAUGAGAUUAGCACUAACUAGUUUAUAAAUUACAAAAGACAAAAACCCUAGGUCCGCAGACAGAAAAAAAAAGCAAUAAUAAAAUAAAAAGGAAAGAAUCCCAGAAAAAUAGAGAGAAAGUGGUAAGCGAAGGAAGAGGCCCUUUCGAAGGUAUUCACUCGAAGAAGAGAAAUAAGGAAGAAAAAGAGUUUGACGAUGUCGGCUUUUUCUUUUUAAAAGAAAGAAGAGUGCGGGGUUUAAAUAGUGGCUUGUUUUAUUUCUUUUUUAUAUUGAGUCCACCGUGAAGGAGCUCCAGCGCCGGAGACAGGACGGUUCUCCGGUAACGGAGCUACGCCAGAGACCGAACAAAAAGACCGAAAAAGAAAUGAAAACAGAAAAGAAAUAAAAGAAACAAAAAAAAAUUUCAAAUAGUUUUUAGUAUACCGGCCACCGUGCUCCACUACUGGAGGCCGGAGAACCCUUGGGUUCUCUGACGGGGGAGCUUGCCGAGAAGAAGACCAGACAAUAGAGAAAAAGAGAGAGAAAGUCAUUUGGUAUUUGUUAAAAAAAGAAGGGGAAAUAUUAAAAUUAUUAGGUUAUCAACCCUUUUUACAACCAUGAAAAAAGGGGAAUUGCUGCAUAAGUCCUCCGUGCCGCCAUCAUUUGCUAAGGGGGACCGCCGC
rnacentral:lncRNA from 1 species